rnacentral:lncRNA from 1 species
UGAUAGUGAUAUAAAGAGUUGCUUCAUGCUUACAAAUCUUUGUUUUCUUUUGUUUUUCUGUUUCUCUAUAUUCCAUUUUUUUGGUCAGCCCUCUAUAUUCUAUGUAAUAAUAAGUUUUAAAUCUCUGAGACCAUAUUGUCUGCAUCCAAGAGUUUUAACAAAAUUUAAGAAGCUAAGUUAUUGAGAAGCUUUGCAAUCUGGUGUUUGGAGUUUAUUUAUAAAUUUGCAAUAAUCAUUUUGAGAUUGAUUCUUCUCAUGUUUCAUUACAUAUUAGUGUUUGCCAAUCUUUUAUGCUCUUUUUAACAUGGAACUUCACUUCACUGCAGUUAUUG